AGAGUUUGAUCCUGGCUCAGGACGAACGCUGGCGGCGUGCCUAAUACAUGCAAGUAGAACAACUGAAGCCUUUAGCUUGCUAAAGUUGAAGAGUUGCGAACGGGUGAGUAACGCGUAGGUAACCUGCCUACUAGCGGGGGAUAACUAUUGGAAACGAUAGCUAAUACCGCAUAACAGCAUUUAACACAUGUUAGAUGCUUGAAAGGAGCAAUUGCUUCACUAGUAGAUGGACCUGCGUUGUAUUAGCUAGUUGGUGAGGUAACGGCUCACCAAGGCGACGAUACAUAGCCGACCUGAGAGGGUGAUCGGCCACACUGGGACUGAGACACGGCCCAGACUCUACGGGAGGCAGCAGUAGGGAAUCUUCGGCAAUGGGGGCAACCCUGACCGAGCAACGCCGCGUGAGUGAAGAAGGUUUUCGGAUCGUAAAACUCUGUUGUAAGAGAAGAACGUGUGUGAGAGUGGAAAAUUCACACAGUGACGGUAACUUACCAGAAAGGGACGGCUAAUACGUGCCAGCAGCCGCGGUAAU
rnacentral:rRNA from 1 species